rnacentral:rRNA from 1 species
AGUGAACGCUGGCGGUAGGCCUAACACAUGCAAGUCGAACGGCAGCACAGUAAGAGCUUGCUCUUACGGGUGGCGAGUGGCGGACGGGUGAGGAAUACAUCGGAAUCUACUUUUUCGUGGGGGAUAACGUAGGGAAACUUACGCUAAUACCGCAUACGACCUACGGGUGAAAGCAGGGGAUCUUCGGACCUUGCGCGAUUGAAUGAGCCGAUGUCGGAUUAGCUAGUUGGCGGGGUAAAGGCCCACCAAGGCGACGAUCCGUAGCUGGUCUGAGAGGAUGAUCGGCCACACUGGAACUGAGACACGGUCCAGACUCCUACGGGAGGCAGCAGUGGGGAAUAUUGGGCAAUGGGCGCAAGCCCGAUCCAGCCAUACCGCGUGGGUGAAGAAGGCCUUCGGGUUGUAAAGCCCUUUUGUUGGGAAAGAAAAGCAGCAGGUUAAUACCCCGCUGUUCUGACGGUACCCAAAGAAUAAGCACCGGCUAACUUCGUG